GACGAACGCUGGCGGCGUGCUUAACACAUGCAAGUCGAACGGUGAAGCGCCUUCCUUUUUGGUGGGUGUGGAUGAGUGGCGAACGGGUGAGUAACACGUUAGUAACCUGCCCCCUUCUUCUGGAUAACCGCAUGAAAGUGUGGCUAAUACGGGAUAUUCUGGGUCUGUCGCAUGAUGGGUCUGGGAAAGAUAUUGUUUCGGUGGGGGGUGGGCUCGCGGCCUAUCAGGUUGUUGGUGGGGUGAUGGCCUACCAAGGCGGUUACGGGUAGCCGGCCUGAGAGGGUGGACGGUCAUACUGGGACUGAGACACGGCCAAGACUCCUACGGGAGGCAGCAGUGGGGAAUAGUGCACAAUGGGAGCAAGCCUGAUGCAGCGACGCCGCGUGAGGGAUGGAGGCCUUCGGGUUGUGAACCUCUUGCGCCAGUGAAGCAGGCCUGCCUCGUUUGUGGGUGGGUUGACGGUAGCUGGAUAAGAAGCGCCGGCUAACUACGUG
rnacentral:rRNA from 1 species